GAGUUUGUAUUACAAGAGCGGUUUGGAAAUAUAUAAACUUCCUGCUGUCACUGAGAGAAUGAUUGUCUCUGACAUCAACCAGACAGCAUACUGCAGCGUUGCUUGAUACAAAGAACAGAGAAGUACACUGAAGAUACAUCCACAGACAUUUCCUUUGAACGGCAUUGAAUUUCCCACUUCUCACAAUGAAGAUGUUACUGGUCACUCUUCUGAUAAUCGGCUUGAUUGCUGGUACUGUGAUGACUAGUGAAGCAGCUAGUCUGCAAGGACGGAGUGAUGGCGAUUCUGGCCAACAUGCAGUCAGUGAAGAACGUCAAGUACGGGAUGACGUAGGCUGCGGCUAUUUCGAGGAUCCUUGCACUACAGAUCCUAGUGGCUGUUGUGCGUGGCAAUGGUAAUAACCUUCGCUGGCGGGAGAUAAGAAGGAGGCAAGUAUCACCGCUCUGCCUCUCCCUAGCGUCUGACCUCUCAUCUGCGCCUUCAUUUCAGAAAGAAAAAAAUCCCCGCGUCAAACCGAACUUUGAUGGAAGUAUUUCGUCUUAGAUCUCCUUUGCCAUAGCUAUACUCGUUCAUGGCAGAUAUUCAGAUAGCAUCUCGAAUUCCAUUUCAGUAACAAAAUUUAACAUUAUGAAAAUACCUUUAAACUGGGGUUCCUAUAAUGAACUAAAAAAUCAUUGUAUUUUCGUGAAAGAUGACCCAUACAACUUGACGGGAUGACAUCUUUAAUCAACAAGUAGAUUGUAGACAAAUAUUGGUUGGUGGCCGGAUAAUCUCUCAAAAUGCAAACAUCCCCGAAAUCUUGUUGAUCAAAAUCAAAGACUAAAAUAAUAAACCUAAUCAAAACACCAAAACCGUGCAAAAUGUGCAACUCAGUGACCGUCAUGCUUGUCAUUAAUUUGAUAGUUCAGUUAGGAGGAUUUUAUUGAUAAAAACUCGUAGGAUUCUCUGUGUCAGACCUAAAUAUUAAAGGAAUUUUAGGAAAAUUCAUUGAGUUGAAAAAUAUUACACAUGCAUUUUGUUUAGCUGUGGACAACCGCCCAACAAAUCAUCAUGUCUUUCCGUUAAUUAGUUAGUUCGUUACCUAGUUACAGUACUGUUUAGUAACAAACGAACAUUCUGCACAGCCGCAGCUCAAAUAUUAAACCGAAAACCGGAGGCCAUUUUGCAAAAGGUAUUUAUUCUGGAUUGCCAUAGAGGACGCUAAACUACCUAUUAAAAUAUUUUUUCCGAACGCUAUGGGUAGUUUAAGACUUACACAAACUUGAGAACUUCAAAAAUAAACACUGCUUAUAUA